ACUAAUGCAAAUCAAUAACAAUAUUUCGCUAUCAGUGACGUUCUUUUAAUAGUUCAUCUUGCAUUUGUGCUUCUCAUCUUUGUUGUUUGUUUCUACAUAUCAUUUCAAACUGACAUAAGGGUUGUCUCUAUUUUUUCUGGCUUUGUUAUACAUGAUGGAGGAAAAGUAUAUGAAGUGAGAACUAAGGUUAAUUCCUUUUUCUCUUCGUAAUUUUGUUUUAUGAUAAUUAUAUUUUUUUCUGUUUUUAUUUGUUUUGCUUCUUGUGGUUAAAAUUUAGUAGAAACAACUUUCGUUGAGGUUCUACACAUAUGGAUAAGCUUACGAGGGACAAUAGAGCCUAGCAUGCCAAAGCACGUAAAAACUUUAUCAGAUCACUGUCAUCCCAACCCAAAGUGUUACAACCUCAUAAAGUCCAUAUUUUAACAAGGGAAGAACUUUCAUGUAGAGCCACCACAAGAGAAGUUUCCUACUUUAUGAUUCAUGUACACCUAAAGAUUCUAUAUCACCAUGCAGUUUCUGCAAAAGUAUCACCAAAUCAUAUGAGUUUAGCGCAUGUGUUUUAUGAGUAUUAA